CACCGCCAGUGGCAGGCUGAAGCCGGCUGAAGCGGAUUUCUAACCGCCUGCUCGGAGCGGUAGAAAACGCAGCCAGACUACAGAGGAGAAUUAACGUUUUUAACCAAAAUGAAGUGAAAAAAGGACAACAUGUCCUAUUUCGCCCCCCAAUGUAAAACCGAGAAAGAGCGUGAGACAAAGCCAGAUGGUCCAGAUGUUGAGGGAACAGAAGAGGAAAAGUAGGAAGUGGAAACUGAGGGAAGGACAGAGGACUGAGUAGAAGAAGAGAUGUACAGGGAGAGACUGAUUUUGAUCAGGAAGAAGAGAUGGAUUCUGAUGUUGUGGCUGAGGGUGAUGCAGGCAGAAGAUACAAGUGCAUCCACAAGCAAUGGACCAUCAGAUAUCAGCAAGACCAGGGAGGACCCACCAAUGCAGCCAAACCUGAAAAUCUUUCCACGGACCUUGACGGAGGACCGUAGGAGAAGUUUUAAGGCGGCGUGUCAAUCGGUAUCUGCAUAUUGUUAUGCUUGCAGACAUUUUAGCCAACCUAAAACCACAGACACUGUAUUUGAUGCACCAUCUGGAUACAAGAAGUGGAAGAAGGCAACGUACAGUUUUUCAAUCCAUGCCAAGUCUGAGAGGCACAAACCAGCAUGGAGGGACUAUCAAAUAAGUGUAACUACUAAUGCAACACUGGCGAAUGCCCUGAACAAGGACAAUAGGAGAAGUGCUACUACUUAAUGCCACUCAGAACAUUGCUCAGAGAGGACACAACGAGUCUGCUGCCUCAGAUAAUGAAGGGAACUUUAUGGCAAUUCUAGAAACAAUUGCUAACCAUGACAACACUGUGAAGUAAAGGUUGACAUCUAUUCAUAAAGUAAGGUACACAAGUAAAAUCAUUCAGAAUGAGAUUCUGGAUUGCCUGGCAGACAUGGUUCAACAUGAAAUUACAGAAGAAGUAAAAAGCAGUGGAGUCUUUAGCAUCAUAGCAGACGAAACAAAAGAUGUAAAAGAAAAAAAAGGAGCAAAUUUCAGUAGUACUCAGAUACUAUUACAAUGGAGCAAUUAAUGAAAGUUUUCUCCAUUUUGAAUCUGCUGAGAGGCUAGAUGCAGACGGGCUUAGUGAGAAAAUAAUCCACAUAUUGGAGAGUCAUGGUCUAGAAUACAAAAACAAUCUUGAUGGCCAGGCAUGCGAUAGUGCUGCUCAAAAUAUGCCCUUUACAUCCAUUGCAAUGCCCACUGUCUUAAUUUAGUUUUAGUAGAUACAGUCAAAGCUGUCCCAGAGGCAGAGGAAUUCUUCUCAUUGCUAGAAAAACUGUAUGUGUUCACUUGUGGAUCAUAUGUCCAACCCAAAUGGCUAGCGAUACAAAAAGACAUGUAUGAAGCUGCGCCAAGAGAGCUACAGCAAAUGAGUGACACACAAUGGGCAUGACGAUUUAUAUCGCUGCGAAGCAUUGUGGAUACAUUACCUGCCCUUAAGUGAGUGGUGCAAGAGAUAGCUCAAGAUCACAAAAGUGAAAGAUCUAUUGAGGCCCGAGGUCAACUGGCACAGAUAGACUUUGCUUUCAUAGUGCAUCUUGUGAUCCUCUGUAAAGUGUUUGGUGAAACAAAACUGUUGUCUGACAUGCCACAGUCAUCAUCACUUGAUAUUUCAAGAGCUGUUGAUUUAGUUAAUGCUUUGGUUCAGACAUUGAAUGACUUCAGGCAAAAGUCAUUUUUUGAUAACUUGUGGAAUGAAGUGUUGAACAUUCCUGAGCAAUGUGAUUCUGCAGUACAAGCAGCAACAAAACAUCCAAAAAAGCUAAGCUGUAAACUUGGUGAAUAUUGUGUUCUGACUAGUGUUGGUCAGAGAGAGUCAGAACAAGAUAAAGACUGUUUUUGGACAGCCUUUUUAUUACCCUGUCAUUGAUCAGAUGCUCAAUGAGCUCAACAAAUGAUUUUCAAAGACAAGCUGUGACAUUAUGAAUAGCAUCCAAGCUCUAAAUCCCCAAAGUGAUGCAUUUCUGAAUGAGACAACGCUGUUUUCAUUUGCUCGAUUGUAUGAUUCAAAUGUUGAUGACUUGGGGCACGAAUGCAAAGACCCUCUACUGUAGUGGAUCUGACACUGUUUAUUGAGCUGUAUCAAGAAGCAUUUUUUGAGCUCUUCAGACUCUGCAAAAUAGCAGUUGCAAUCCCAGUGAGUACUGUGUCUUGUGAGCGGGUUAGGGUUAGUUUUUCUACCCUAAAGCUGGUGAAAACCUUCCUUGGUUCAAACAUAACUGAUGGGAGAUAAAACAAUCUGGGUGUACUAAGUAUUGAGUCUAGGAGGGCAAAGGCUUUGAAUCUUGACCUAUUUUUUGAUCGGUUUGCCAAAAAUCACAUAAACCGCAGAAUACAGCUACUGUAAUAUAGAAUUUUACGAACAUACAGACUGGGAUACAGAGUCCCACUUUUACAGUGGAGCUGGUACUCAUAUUGUCACUGAAACAGGUAACAUUCUCUGAGAGAUUGAAAUAUUUUCAGCAAAGUAGAGUUAUAUUUUUUUAAAUAUUGUUACUGAAAAAAAUAUUAUAUCUGAAACAAGUGACUGUAACUGAGUUGAUUUAAAUUCUGCAGUAAAACUUUGAAAUACUCGAAGGCUGUCUUUGUCUUUUUUUUUUUCUCACAUAGAAUGUGCCUCUCUAACAAAGCAACUGGCCCCAGCCUGGUCCUCCUCUGAAGCUGGUCUAGAACCACCAGUGAAAGAUCUUCAAGAGUUGAACAUUUUCAGCAAGAGUAACAGGAGAUGUUCACCCUGGCUCAGUCACUUACAGAAUGAUCAAGGUUUAGGUCUGGGAGUCCAGAGUGGGCGGAGCUUCCCUGUUUAUCCAGCUGACCAUGGCUGAUUCAUCUGAUCAUGUCUGACUUAUCUGACUGUAGCAGCCUAGAG